CGAAGAAGAGGAAGGAAGGCAGAAAUCUCGUGUGGAACAAAAGGAUAAAAGCUCGUUUGAUUCUGAUUUUCAGUACGAAUACGAACCGUGAAAGUGUG
rfam:Arabis alpina cultivar Pajares chromosome 7, whole genome shotgun sequence.